rnacentral:lncRNA from 10 species
UUUUUUUGUUUUUGAGACAGAGUCUCACUCUGUCACCCAGGCUGGAGUGCGAUGGCGCGAUCUCAGCUCACCGCAACCUCCACCUCCCAAGUUCAAGUGAUUCUUCCACCUCAGCCUCCCGAGUAGCUGGGAUUACAGGCACCCGCCACCACAGCAGGCUAAUUUUUGUAUUUUUAAUUGAGACGGGGUUUCGCCAUGUUGCCCAGGCUGGUCUUGAACUCCUGACCUCAGGUGAUCCACUUGCCUUGGUCUCCCAAAGUGUUGGCAUUACAGGCCUGAGCCACCGUGCCUGGCCCUAGGUUUUGUAUUUUUAGUAGAGACGGAGUUUCACCAUGUUGGCCAGGCUGUUCUUGAACUCCUGGGCUGAAGGGAUCUAUUUGCCUCAGCCUCCCAAAGGGCUGGGAUUAUAGGCGUGAGCCACGAGGCCCGGCUCUCCCUCCCUUUUUUUUUCCUCCUCUCUCCCUCCAUCCAUCCUACCUCUGCCCCCAUAACUUUCUCC